ACCGUGAGGGAAAGGCGAAAAGAACCCCGGCGAGGGGAGUGAAAAAGAACCUGAAACCGUGUACGUACAAGCAGUGGGAGCACAGGUUUACCUGUGUGACUGCGUACCUUUUGUAUAAUGGGUCAGCGACUUAUAUUCUGUAGCAAGGUUAACCGUAUAGGGGAGCCGUAGGGAAACCGAGUCUUAACCGGGCGUUAAGUUGCAGGGUAUAGACCCGAAACCCGGUGAUCUAGCCAUGGGCAGGUUGAAGGUUGGGUAACACUAACUGGAGGACCGAACCGACUAAUGUUGAAAAAUUAGCGGAUGACCUGUGGCUGGGGGUGAAAGGCCAAUCAAACCGGGAGAUAGCUGGUUCUCCCCGAAAGCUAUUUAGGUAGCGCCUCGUGAAUUCAUCUCCGGGGGUAGAGCACUGUUUCGGCUAGGGGGCCAUCCCGGCUUACCAACCCGAUGCAAACUGCGAAUACCGGAGAAUGUUAUCACGGGAGACACACGGCGGGUGCUAACGUCCGUCGUGAAGAGGGAAACAACCCAGACCGCCAGCUAAGGUCCCAAAGUCAUGGUUAAGUGGGAAACGAUGUGGGAAGGCCCAGACAGCCAGGAUGUUGGCUUAGAAGCAGCCAUCAUUUAAAGAAAGCGUAAUAGCUCACUGGUCGAGUCGGCCUGCGCGGAAGAUGUAACGGGGCUAAACCAU
rnacentral:rRNA from 1 species